AAUCCAUAGGUUAAUGAGGCGAACCGGGGGAACUGAAACAUCUAAGUACCCCGAGGAAAAGAAAUCAACCGAGAUUCCCCCAGUAGCGGCGAGCGAACGGGGAGGAGCCCAGAGCCUGAAUCAGCAUGUGUGUUAGUGGAAGCGUCUGGAAAGGCGCGCGAUACAGGGUGACAGCCCCGUACACAAAAGCGCAUGUGCUGUGAGCUCGAUGAGUAGGGCGGGACACGUGGUAUCCUGUCUGAAUAUGGGGGGACCAUCCUCCAAGGCUAAAUACUCCUGACUGACCGAUAGUGAACCAGUACCGUGAGGGAAAGGCGAAAAGAACCCCGGCGAGGGGAGUGAAAAAGAACCUGAAACCGUGUACGUACAAGCAGUGGGAGCACAGGUUUACCUGUGUGACUGCGUACCUUUUGUAUAAUGGGUCAGCGACUUAUAUUCUGUAGCAAGGUUAACCGUAUAGGGGAGCCGUAGGGAAACCGAGUCUUAACCGGGCGUUAAGUUGCAGGGUAUAGACCCGAAACCCGGUGAUCUAGCCAUGGGCAGGUUGAAGGUUGGGUAACACUAACUGGAGGACCGAACCGACUAAUGUUGAAAAAUUAGCGGAUGACCUGUGGCUGGGGGUGAAAGGCCAAUCAAACCGGGAGAUAGCUGGUUCUCCCCGAAAGCUAUUUAGGUAGCGCCUCGUGAAUUCAUCUCCGGGGGUAGAGCACUGUUUCGGCUAGGGGGCCAUCCCGGCUUACCAACCCGAUGCAAACUGCGAAUACCGGAGAAUGUUAUCACGGGAGACACACGGCGGGUGCUAACGUCCGUCGUGAAGAGGGAAACAACCCAGACCGCCAGCUAAGGUCCCAAAGUCAUGGUUAAGUGGGAAACGAUGUGGGAAGGCCCAGACAGCCAGGAUGUUGGCUUAGAAGCAGCCAUCAUUUAAAGAAAGCGUAAUAGCUCACUGGUCGAGUCGGCCUGCGCGGAAGAUGUAACGGGGCUAAACCAUGCACCGAAGCUGCGGCAGCGAACGUAUCACCCAAGACAACUUUACGGAGUUGACGAUUGACGGAGCGAAGCGACGUCAAAGCGUUCAUUAAAGUCGAGUUGGCUUAGGGAUACGUUCGUUGGGUAGGGGAGCGUUCUGUAAGCCUGUGAAGGUGUGUCGUGAGGC
rnacentral:rRNA from 2 species